rnacentral:rRNA from 1 species
AACGAACGCUGGCGGCAUGCCUAACACAUGCAAGUCGAACGAGACCUUCGGGUCUAGUGGCGCACGGGUGCGUAACGCGUGGGAACCUGCCCCUAGGUUCGGAAUAACUCCCCGAAAGGGGUGCUAAUACCGGAUAAUGUCUUCGGACCAAAAAUUUAUCGCCUUUGGAUGGGCCCGCGUUGGAUUAGCUAGUUGGUAGGGUAAAAGCCUACCAAGGCGACGAUCCAUAGCUGGUCUGAGAGGAUGAUCAGCCACACUGGGACUGAGACACGGCCCAGACUCCUACGGGAGGCAGCAGUGGGGAAUAUUGGACAAUGGGCGAAAGCCUGAUCCAGCAAUGCCGCGUGAGUGAUGAAGGCCUUAGGGUUGUAAAGCUCUUUUACCCGGGAUGAUAAUGACAGUACCGGGAGAAUAAGCUCCGGCUAACUCCGUG